rnacentral:misc_RNA from 1 species
GAUGAAGAACGUAGCGAAAUGCGAUAAGUAGUGUGAAUUGCAGAAUUCAGUGAAUCAUCGAAUCUUUGAACGCACAUUGCGCCCCUUGGUAUUCCAUGGGGCAUGCCUGUUCGAGCGUCAUUUGUACCUUCAAGCUCUGCUUGGUGUUGGGUGUUUGUCUCGCCUCUGCGUGUAGACUCGCCUCAAAACAAUUGGCAGCCGGCGUAUUGAUUUCGGAGCGCAGUACAUCUCGCGCUUUGCACUCAUAACGACGACGUCCAAAAGUACAUUUUUACACUCUUGACCUCGGAUCAGGUAGGGAUACCCGCUGAACUUAAGCAUAUCAAUGCGAGGA